rnacentral:rRNA from 1 species
AUGAACGCUGGCGGCGUGCCUAAUACAUGCAAGUCGAGCGAACAGACGAGGAGCUUGCUCCUCUGACGCUAGCGGCGGACGGGUGAGUAACACGUGGAUAACCUACCUAUAAGACUGGGAUAACUUCGGGAAACCGGAGCUAAUACCGGAUAAUAUAUUGAACCGCAUGGUUCAAUAGUGAAAGACGGUUUUGCUGUCACUUAUAGAUGGAUCCGCGCCGCAUUAGCUAGUUGGUAAGGUAACGGCUUACCAAGGCAACGAUGCGUAGCCGACCUGAGAGGGUGAUCGGCCACACUGGAACUGAGACACGGUCCAGACUCCUACGGGAGGCAGCAGUAGGGAAUCUUCCGCAAUAGGCGAAAGCCUGACGGAGCAACGCCGCGUGAGUGAUGAAGGUCUUCGGAUCGUAAAACUCUGUUAUUAGGGAAGAACAAAUGUGUAAGUAACUAUGCACGUCUUGACGGUACCUAAUCAGAAAGCCACGGCUAACUACGUG